CUACGGGCGGCUGCAGUGGGGAAUCUUAGACAAUGGGCGCAAGCCUGAUCUAGCCAUGCCGCGUGAGUGACGAAGGCCUUAGGGUCGUAAAGCUCUUUCGCUGGGGAAGAUAAUGACGGUACCCAGUAAAGAAACCCCGGCUAACUCCGUGCCAGCAGCCGCGGUAAUACGGAGGGGGUUAGCGUUGUUCGGAAUUACUGGGCGUAAAGCGCGCGUAGGCGGAGCAGAAAGUGUGGGGGUGAAAUCUCGGGGCUCAACCCCGGAACUGCCUUCAAAACUCCUGGGCUUGAGUUCGAGAGAGGUGAGUGGAAUUCCGAGUGUAGAGGUGAAAUUCGUAGAUAUUCGGAGGAACACCAGUGGCGAAGGCGGCUCACUGGCUCGAUACUGACGCUGAGGUGCGAAAGCGUGGGGAGCAAACAGGAUUAGAUACCCUUGUAGUC
rnacentral:rRNA from 1 species